CGGAAACAGACAGGUGCCUUCAAAGCCCGGGCCAGGUUGAAGGCACCUGCCAAUCAAGGCAGCCCCAGGGCGGAGCCAGGCAAGAGCGUCCACCCUUUCCCCUUCGUGGGCCCGGCUGUUCAUUUCUGUCCGUCCAAUGAUGUGGCGAGUGGGCGGUACCCGCUCCUGUAAGCGUGUGAAACCGGGCAUCGCAGGCAAGCUUGGACCAGCGCGCAUCCUUCCGCCUACCUUGUGUCUUGGCCAGGCGGACCGGUCUCUCAGUUGCACGACCCAUCUUUGAGACUCAGAGGAAGGAAGAAAAGGAAGGAAGCAGAAGAUAAUGCCCCAAGUCACUGACAUCACGCAUAGCUGCACUGGUUGGGAAGCGGCAUGAAGUUUUUGGCCUUCCUCUGAAUGGUGACGUGAUUGUGGGACAGUAAGUCUCCUCCGCACCUCCGUUCGCUUGUUGUCGUGAGGACGCCGCAGAAGGUGAUCCUGAAGCGUACUAAACUUGGAGAAACUGUUCCAAGAAGAUGCAGGGCUGUCAGGCCAGGUGACUGCGAUUCCUUGAGACUCGACCUCUGUGCCCGUCCACUGGUUCAACGGUUCAGUCUGGCCGGGGCAGGGACUCUGACAGGUGGCCCUUCCCUGGCAGACCCACAGGCAGAGGUCAGCAGAGGUCAUCACUUUCAAGCAAGGCUGAUCUACACAGAUCCAGGGUACCUCCUUUCCCAGUUAAAGACGACGCGUGGUGAGGCCUGGCUGUGUCUGCGGAGGGGGCGGCGAGCUCCACGCGGGGGGCCAGCUUCUCUCAGGCCUCACUGGCCGUCAUGCCACAGCGGCUGGCCUGGGACGCUGCUCCCUGCUGGCACCCCCAGCCCCUCCGGACCCCGACCCCCUUGCGGGGGGCCCCGUGUCCCUCCA